UACGUAGGGCGCAAGCGUUGUCCGGAAUUAUUGGGCGUAAAGAGCUCGUAGGCGGCUUGUCGCGUCGAAUGUGAAAACCUGCAGCUCAACUGCAGGCUUGCAUUCGAUACGGGCAGGCUCGAGUUCGGUAGGGGAGACUGGAAUUCCUGGUGUAGCGGUGAAAUGCGCAGAUAUCAGGAGGAACACCGGUGGCGAAGGCGGGGUCUUGGCCGUGGUACCGUGACGACUGA
rnacentral:rRNA from 1 species